UACGUAGGCAGCAAGCGUUGUUCGGAGUUACUGGGCGUAAAGGGUGUGUAGGCGGUUGCUUAAGUUUGGUGUGAAAUCUCCCGGCUCAACUGGGAGGGUGCGCCGAAUACUGAGUGACUCGAGUGCGGGAGAGGAAAGUGGAAUUCCUGGUGUAGCGGUGAAAUGCGUAGAUAUCGGGAAGAACACCCGUGGCGAAGGCGGCUCUCUGGGACGGUACUGACGCUGAGACGCGAAAGCGUGGGGAGCGAACAGG
rnacentral:rRNA from 1 species